GAUCGGCCACACUGGAACUGAGACACGGUCCAGACUCCUACGGGAGGCAGCAGUAGGGAAUCUUCCGCAAUGGGCGAAAGCCUGACGGAGCAACGCCGCGUGAGUGAUGAAGGUCUUCGGAUCGUAAAACUCUGUUAUUAGGGAAGAACAAGGAUGUAAGUAACUAUGCAUCCCUUGACGGUACCUAAUCAGAAAGCCACGGCUAACUACGUGCCAGCAGCCGCGGUAAUACGUAGGUGGCAAGCGUUAAUCGGAAUUACUGGGCGUAAAGCGCGCGUAGGUGGCUUGGUAAGUUGAAUGUGAAAUCCCCGGGCUCAACCUGGGAACUGCAUCCAAAACUGCCUGGCUAGAGUACGGUAGAGGGUGGUGGAAUUUCCUGUGUAGCGGUGAAAUGCGUAGAUAUAGGAAGGAACACCAGUGGCGAAGGCGACCACCUGGACUGAUACUGACACUGAGGUGC
rnacentral:rRNA from 1 species